rnacentral:rRNA from 1 species
UACGGGGGGGGCUAGCGUUGCUCGGAAUCACUGGGCGUAAAGGGUGCGUAGGCGGGUCUUUAAGUCAGGGGUGAAAUCCUGGAGCUCAACUCCAGAACUGCCUUUGAUACUGAGAAGCUUGAGUCCGGGAGAGGUGAGUGGAACUGCGAGUGUAGAGGUGAAAUUCGUAGAUAUUCGCAAGAACACCAGUGGCGAAGGCGGCUCACUGGCCCGGUACUGACGCUGAGGUGCGAAAGCGUGGGGAGCAAACAGG